GAAUUUUCCGCAAUGGGCGAAAGCCUGACGGAGCAACGCCGCGUGAGGGAGGACUGCCUGUGGGUUGUAAACCUCUUUUCUCAGGGAAGAAGAUCUGACGGUACCUGAGGAAUCAGCAUCGGCUACCUCCGUGCCAGCAGCCGCGGUAAUACGGAGGAUGCAAGCGUUAUCCGGAUUUAUUGGGCGUAAAGCGGCCGUAGGUGGCUUUAUAAGUCUGCUGGCAAAGCCCACAGCUUAACUGUGGAUCGGCAGUGGAAACUAUAGAGCUUGAGUGCGGUAGGGGCAGAGGGAAUUCCCAGUGUAGCGGUGAAAUGCGUAGAUAUUGGGAAGAACACCGGUGGCGAAAGCGCUCUGCUAGGCCGCAACUGACACUGAGGGACGAAAGCUAGGGGAGCGAAAGGG
rnacentral:rRNA from 1 species